GACGAACGCUGGCGGCGUGCCUAACACAUGCAAGUCGAACGGAGUUUCCAGCAAUGGAUUCUUAGUGGCGAACGGGUGAGUAACGCGUAGACAACCUACCUUCUAGAUGGGGACAACACUGCGAAAGUGGUGCUAAUACCGAAUGUUGUAUCGAUGAUGCAUAUCAUUGAUACUAAAGAUGGCCUCUAUUUAUAAGCUAUCACUAGAAGAUGGGUCUGCGUCUGAUUAGCUAGUUGGUGAGGUAAUGGCUCACCAAGGCGACGAUCAGUAGCCGGUCUGAGAGGAUGAACGGCCACACUGGGACUGAGACACGGCCCAGACUCCUACGGGUGGCAG
rnacentral:rRNA from 1 species